AACUUUAUUUUGUGGGCAAAAUAUUCGAUGUGUGAAAAUAUUUGUCAGAACAAUUCAUGUUAAGUGCUGUAAACAGCUGCCAAACUAGCCUUCGUUUCCCCAAAACAAAGCACCCUUAUAGUCUCAUGUAGCACCUCCCACUGCUUUCAUUCGGAAGAAAGAUGCAGAAGGCUGGGGUCCAGGCUGGUGGUCCUUUGCAUGGAGAAACAGACGUGAGCUGAGCGCGCCCGGAUUCGCCUCCCCACCGAGACCCCCUGGCUCCGCCCUGUGAUGCAGUCUCCAUAGCGACCACAGUUUCCUGGGAUGCAAAGAAUGGAACCCUGAAGGUGACUGUUGGAGGUUUUGCUGAUGGGCUUUCACAUCAUAAUCCAGCUCACCUAUGUCUCAUAGAGCAGCAACAGAUCCACACUGUGCCUAGGGUCGACAACCACUUAAUCAAGAAGCCAACACACAGGACAAAGCACAGAACCCAAUCUGAAGACAAACUAUUUACGUCUACAUUGUUAUGUAUCACCAUCUCUUUUAUAUGAGGACUCUAGAAGUGACCUUGUUCAUUGGAUACACUGCCAGGUUGAAUGUAUAUAACUAAUCAGAAAAUAUCUCUGUACCACUCUAGGUAGCAGGUGGAAAUACUGAGACUAAAACUGCCAUGUGUUGCUGAACAUAUUUUACUAAGGUCUCUUUUUGCUGUGUUCUUCAUGUAUUCACAGAGUGUGCCAUUAUCAAACCAGAUGUAUGCGUAUUAAUUUGUCGUCAUUGAGACAAUGCUUAUGUAUUGACUAUAUUAGACAAUAAUAAUAGUGAAAUACUAAAAAUAUUAAAGUUUUUGGACUAAUAAAUGGGUAACCUGAGUA